rnacentral:rRNA from 1 species
GUAGGUGGCAAGCGUUGUCCGGAAUUAUUGGGCGUAAAGCGCGCGCAGGCGGUCCUUUAAGUCUGAUGUGAAAGCCCACGGCUCAACCGUGGAGGGUCAUUGGAAACUGGGGGACUUGAGUACAGAAGAGGAAAGCGGAAUUCCAAGUGUAGCGGUGAAAUGCGUAGAGAUUUGGAGGAACACCAGUGGCGAAGGCGGCUUUCUGGUCUGUAACUGACGCUGAGGCGCGAAAGCGUGGGGAGCAAACAGGAUUAGAUACCCUGGUAGUCCACGCCGUAAACGGUGAGUGCUAAGUGUUAGGGGGUUUCCCGCCCCCCUUAGUGCUGCAGCUAACGCAUUAAGCACUCCGCCUGGGGGAGUACGGCCGCAAGGCUG